CAAAUUAGAUCUAUUUAUUAGUAUUUCAUUUACAUUGAAAAGAUUAUUUGUUAAAUCAAUUUAAUUUGA
rnacentral:tRNA from 1 species